rnacentral:rRNA from 1 species
UACAGAGGUCUCAAGCGUUGUUCGGAUUCAUUGGGCGUAAAGGGUGCGUAGGCGGCGCGGUAAGUCGGGUGUGAAAUCUCGGGGCUUAACUCCGAAACUGCAUUCGAUACUGCCGUGCUUGAGGACUGGAGAGGAGACUGGAAUUUACGGUGUAGCGGUGAAAAUGCGUAGAUAUCGUAAGGAAGACCAGUGGCGAAGGCGGGUCUCUGGACAGUUCCUGACGCUGAGGCACGAAGGCCCAGGGGGAGCAAAACGGGG